GUUUGCUUUCUGUGAGUAUAAUGCUUUAAUGAACAUGAAGCUUUGUUGGUCAUCAAAUUCUUGAAAUACUACGCUUUUUUUUAUUUUAAAUUUGCUGUUUGUGGAUUUGUAUGAAAUAAACUAGUGUUUUAAAACCAUUGUUUUCUAUUUGUAGGUGUGUGUGUGUGUGUGUAUGUAUUUAUACCUAAUUGUUUUCACUUUGAAUAUGGUUUUGCAAACAGAAAAUGCCAAAUGCUGAUAAUCCAUCACUACUGGGAAUUGGGAUAGCAGGGCAUGGAAAACUGGAAAAUUUUAAGAAAUGCAUACACAGACUCCUCCCAAAGCCAUGUACCUUUUCUCCUCCCCUCAGACCACGAUCCACCCAUCAUCAUUAGACAGCAAGUGACGCUACUGCCUCUACAGAUAAGUAGUUGGUACCAGAAGACUGCAGCAGAGGACCCAUUUCCCCAGACUGCAACAGAGGAGAGGACUGAAGGCGUCAACCCUUCAUCUCUGUAAGGCAAGGGGAGAUUCUCAAUUGGGAAAAGUCAGUCCUCAACUCCUCCGUCAUCUUCUCCUCCAUGACCCGGAAACGAGAAGUGGUCGAGUGCUCCAGGUGAGUAUCAAUUCGUUAGUAGAUGAACAGAGGAGCCUGUUCACCACCUCCAUUUCCUGAUGAUCAAGAGUAUCCUUAUGACAUCUAGCACGGAAGUUUAAAAAAAAUCCGCCACAGCUUUUUUCUCUAAGGAAAAAAGCAUGCACAUAUUUCAAAACAACAUAUUACUUUAGCGUUUUAGCUACUUAUUAUUUUAUCUAUAAAAUGUCUUGCACAACUAACUAAAUUUAGUUUUUAUCGCUUUGCAAAUUGUAUUUUGGGAUUCCACUGCUGUAAAAGUAAUUUGCCUGGUGAGUGGGAAUGGAGGAGUCUCAUUUCAUACAAGCAUGUUUCCUCGCCUCAGCUCCUCUAUUACCUUUUUCAAAGCAGGAGAGAGGCGAUAUGAGUCGAGCAAAACCAAUUGAGCUUCUCCCUAGGUCGCCUUGGUGAGGGGGCCUGAUGUUGAAAGACCCGAAACACAGAAUGACCCCAAGUUACAUCACUGUGUCCAAGAGCAUUGUCAGAUGUAUCCAAUCAAUAGUACAGAUAAUAGUAAUGGUAGCAAACUAAACUUAAUACAGCAUGGGGAAAAUGCAACACAGCAAAAAAAGCCUAUGCAAUUAUACACAAUGCGCACAGUAGGCUAAUCAUAUUCUAUGAAUAUGCUCUUCCAUGAGAGCCUAUGUUUGGUUUCCUGACAGGGCAACGGGGUGAUUGAAUGGCGGCACAUCUGCAAUUAUGGUAAACUACAGAACAGAUGUCAUUAAACAGCCUGUAACUUACUGUUCAACUGUUGUAGCUAUGUUAUUGCAUUUUGAUCAAUACACAAGGUCAAAUUCCAUUUGACAAAGAAGUUGAAUUUUUGUAAGUGGCCAUACUGUUACUUGCCAGCAUCAUCAGGCCAGCAAUUGGUCCAGCGCAUCACCUGCUUCCCUGACGACUGAGCAGCAUCCUCAUGAAGAAGGUGUGCACGCCACGCAUGCUCGUGGGCUGUGUAAUGCGGAAGGGGGAAGCAAAGAGAUUACAUUAGCGUCAAGCGAGCAACAUUAGCGUCCUGGCAGCAACAUUAAGAUUUCCGUUUUUUCGAUUGUGGCUUCAAAAUAAAAGUGUGGUACAACGCUAUGAUACGAAAUCAAUAAUUUUGCAGCUUUGCAUAGUGACAUGUUAAAAUUAGGUUACAAAAGUAUAACUACAUUGUUGAAAAAACUAAAUAAUUACUACUUUACAUAAGAUAAAUAAUAUAAAGGGGAUCACAUUGAGAAAUGGUUGGAUCUUCAAUAAAUGAAUGUAAGAACAUAAUAUUCUAACAAAACCUACUGAUCUAGCACUAGAGUCUAUAUAUGGUGUUAUUUCCUGUCUACAUUUCAAACAGCACUUUCUACUCCACACAUUCCAUUGGUCCCAAUGCAAUACAGUGUAGUGUAGGCCUAUAAAUUACAUAUUGGCUUAUAAAGAAAAACUAUUAUGAGCUGAUGCAAAAGUGUGGUAGGGAAUACUCUGUACUCUUUCACGAGGGACUGAGGUCUUGCAUUGGGACCAAUUGAAUGGGUGGAGUAGAAAGUGUUGCUGGAUAUUUAGACCUCAAUCCCCCAUGAAAUAACACAAUAUAUAGAUUCUACCGACACUAGUGAGUAAUCCAAACUCUACUUUUACUUCGGCACCUAGAAUAGUUUGCUCUAUAUAAGCCAAUAUGUAUUUAAAGUGGCAAUCAGUAGCUAAUACAAUAACAAAGCUGCACCCCACCAUUGUUUAGGGAAAAAGCAGAGGUGUGGGCCUGGAGAAAUUGAACUAUUCUUAAAUUCAUAGACAUGCAUGGAUUUGACUGUCAAUGAUAUACGAAGUAUAGUGUUAACCAUGUUUUAAAGCUACAUUUACUUUGUUUAUAAACAUUUAGAGUAAAACAAGCUUAUACGAUGGGGUUUGAUGGGGUACAACCAUUGAACUAAGUUCAUGAGGCAUUUAUAAGUUAGUCUUCAAUAAUCAAUGGGUACAUAUCAAGCAUUUUUAAGUCCAAAAAUGGACUAUGCUUAUUGCCUCUUUUAUUAUACAGUGUAUUGCAUUGGGGGCAUUUAUUUUACCUUGAAUGUGUUUUAAAACCCACAUUUAAUGCACAUGUCAUAAAAUAUGAGUCAUUGUUAAUGUUUAGACAAUUAUGUUUUUAUAUAUCAUGAACACUUUUCUACUAUUACGUGGUGACUUUUAUUUUUAUCCAAAAUUCCGUGACCCGGAAGUACUAAUUUAGUGUAGCUGGUAGAGAUUAUACGUCAUUGAGGUGCAUUUGUGCGAUAGAUUAUUAAAUUAACCAUGCUAUGCAGCCACAUGAAAAUCUUACAGAUAUAGCAAAACUAUCAAUAUUCAAUCAAUAGAGGUUUAAAUAUAUUCAGACGAGCUUCGUCUGUCAUUGGAAGGAGCAGCGUGGACAUUGGAAUUCACCUGAAGGUAACACAUUUCUGCUAUCUUGACUAGCUAACUGCGGCUUCUUCGCCGGGGCUCGCUCACACAUGCAUCUUUCUUUUCAGCCAAAAACAGCGAGAUUUGAGUCGUCUGUAGUUUUCGUAUUAUGGCAGUAUUUGGUCCAAAUUACUUGCCCGGACCAUGAUUUCCCAGUUCCACAAAUAACAUUGAGAUUAUGUUUGGACAUUGGCACUUACAGCGUUGACGUUUGACAGCUCAAGCUGCUGUCCUGCAUUCAAAUAUGGAAGCUAGCGAAUGUAAGGAGGUAAAAUUUGUUUUAUAUUGGAUAUUCGGUUCUCUGGUCAAUGGCUAUUAAACCAAGCAUGCCAUGACUAUGAAGAUGGUAUAUUCUGAAUCAAUUCAGAUUUUCUUUUUUUUGGUAGGUGUCUUUCAAUCUUCAGUAGCUGUUACACAAAGUGAGCUAUGACUAAAACAAUUAUAUAUUCAGAAUCAGGGGAGAAUAUGUAAAAAAUAAUAAUAAUAAUCCACAGUUAUUAUUUAGAAAAUGUGUUGGAUUUUUGUUGUCGCUUUCAAUCUUCAGUAGCUCUUAGUAGCAUGUAGCAUGCCAUGACUAUGACAAUUUAUAUAUUCUAAAUCAUGGGAGGAUGGACAAAAAUUAACUUUAUAUUUAUUUACAUUGCUUAGUUUUUGUUGUUUUUGGUAACAUUUUCAUAGUCAUGGCAUGAUUUGUGUAAGGGCUAUUGAUGAUUGAAAAAUGUAAAUUAAGAGAUUUCCAAAAUAAAAGCAGUUUUUUUUUUCACAUCCUCUCCUGAUUCUGAAUAGUCAUGGCACACUUUGUCUAAGAGCUAUUGAUGAGCGAGAACCAAAUAUCCACUGAAUAUCCAAUAUAUAUAUAUAUAUAUAUAUAUAUAUAUAUUUUUUACCUCUGUAGCUAAUGUUAGCUAGCUGGCUAAAUUCAUAGCAAGGAGACAAUUUACUAGCUACCUCGUGAUGUUACUCCAGAUUACAUCUAGUGAGUUAUCAAGAUACCCACGUUAACAUUUUAAUAGCAAUGUAAACAGCAGCUGUAGUUUGCUACAUCAUGUACACCAGUGCAACAACUGUCAGUGUUUCUCAACAGUGAAUUAGCUAGCUAGCUAGGCUAGUAGUCAUAUUGCUCCAUUACCUUUUUUGGAAGGGAUUUUUGUGGCAUGAUUGAUAACAUUACCUAGCUAGUGCAUUGCAUUCAACUUUAGACCUAGUUAGUCUUUUAAAGAUAAAAUACGAUGAUUUGCCUAUAGCCAUGUUAUAACUCCAACAACGAUGAGGCUUUUUACACAUUUUGAAUUAUUUAUAAAGGCAUUAUAAAGAAUACAAAUUGGUAAAAAGCCAUAUUUUGAGUCAUCAUGGCUAAUGUGCCUAGUGAGAUGAUGCAUAGGUCCUGCAUUCCAUAAAGAAAAUAGCAUUUAUAGUACAGAAUCUGAUUGUUUUAUUUUUAUAUUUAACUAGCAAGUCAGUCAAGUGAAAAUGUGUAUUUACAAACCUAUCCGGCCAAACCUGGAUGACGCUGGGCCAAUUGUGCGCUGCCCUGUGGGACUCCCAAUCACGGCCGGAUGUGAUACAGCCUGGAUUUGAACCAGGGACUGUA
rnacentral:lncRNA from 13 species